GGGCCGGUCGUCUAAUGGUAGGACGCUUCCCUUGCAAGGAAGAGGUUCUGGGUUCGAAAAUUCGGGAAUCCCAGCCGGUCCA
rnacentral:tRNA from 1 species